rnacentral:rRNA from 1 species
UACGUAGGGUGCAAGCGUUGUCCGGAAUUAUUGGGCGUAAAGAGCUCGUAGGCGGUCUGUUGCGUCGGCUGUGAAAACCCGGGGCUCAACUCCGGGCCUGCAGCCGAUACGGGCAGACUAGAGUUCGGCAGGGGAGACUGGAAUUCCUGGUGUAGCGGUGAAAUGCGUAGAUAUCAGGAGGAACACCUGUGGUGUAGACAGCUUACUGGACCACUUCUGACGCUGAGACACGAAAGCGUGGGUAGCAAACAGG